rnacentral:rRNA from 1 species
CCUACGGGAGGCAGCAGUAGGGAAUCUUCCACAAUGGGCGAAAGCCUGAUGGAGCAACGCCGCGUGGGUGAAGAAGGUCUUCGGAUCGUAAAACCCUGUUGUUAGAGAAGAAAGUGCGUGAGAGUAACUGUUCACGUUUCGACGGUAUCUAACCAGAAAGCCACGGCUAACUACGUGCCAGCAGCCGCGGUAAUACGUAGGUGGCAAGCGUUAUCCGGAUUGAUUGGGCGUAAAGGGAACGCAGGCGGUCUUUUAAGUCUGAUGUGAAAGCCUUCGGCUUAACCGGAGUAGUGCAUUGGAAACUGGGAGACUUGAGUGCAGAAGAGGAGAGUGGAAUUCGAGGUGUAGCGGUGAAAUGCGUAGAUAUAUGGAAGAACACCAGUGGCGAAAGUAGCUCUCUGGUCUGUAACUGACGCUGAGGUUCGAAAGCGUGGGUAGCAAACAGGAUUAGAUACCCGAGUAGUC